UGGCUCAGGACGAACGCUGGCGGCGUGCCUAAUACAUGCAAGUCGAGCGAGUCUGCCUUGAAGAUCGGAGUGCUUGCACUCUGUGAAACAAGAUACAGGCUAGCGGCGGACGGGUGAGUAACACGUGGGUAACCUGCCCAAGAGAUCGGGAUAACACCUGGAAACAGAUGCUAAUACCGGAUAACAACAGAUGAUGCCUAUCAACUGUUUAAAAGAUGGUUCUGCUAUCACUCUUGGAUGGACCUGCGGUGCAUUAGCUAGUUGGUAGGGUAACGGCCUACCAAGGCGAUGAUGCAUAGCCGAGUUGAGAGACUGAUCGGCCACAUUGGGACUGAGACACGGCCCAAACUCCUACGGGAGGCAGCAGUAGGGAAUCUUCCACAAUGGACGCAAGUCUGAUGGAGCAACGCCGCGUGAGUGAAGAAGGGUUUCGGCUCGUAAAGCUCUGUUGUUGGUGAAGAAGGACAGGGGUAGUAACUGACCUUUGUUUGACGGUAAUCAAUUAGAAAGUCACGGCUAACUACGUGCCAGCAGCCGCGGUAAUACGUAGGUGGCAAGCGUUGUCCGGAUUUAUUGGGCGUAAAGCGAGUGCAGGCGGCUCGAUAAGUCUGAUGUGAAAGCCUUCGGCUCAACCGGAGAAUUGCAUCAGAAACUGUCGAGCUUGAGUGCAGAAGAGGAGAGUGGAACUCCAUGUGUAGCGGUGAAAUGCGUAGAUAUAUGGAAGAACACCGGUGGCGAAGGCGGCUCUCUGGUCUGUUACUGACGCUGAGGCUCGAAAGCAUGGGUAGCGAACAGGAUUAGAUACCCUGGUAGUCCAUGCNGUAAACGAUGAGUGCUAAGUGUUGGGAGGUUUCCGCCUCUCAGUGCUGCAGCUAACGCAUUAAGCACUCCGCCUGGGGAGUACGACCGCAAGGUUGAAACUCAAAGGAAUUGACGG
rnacentral:rRNA from 1 species